AGACGUCUACAUUAGAUACCCCUGUAGUCCCAGCCGUAAACUAUGCGCGUUAGGUGUAUCGGUGACCACGAGUCACCGAGGCGCCGAAGGGAAACCGUGAAACGUGCCGCCUGGGAAGUACGGUCGCAAGGCUGAAACUUAAAGGAAUUGGCGGGGAGCACCACAACCGGGUGGAGCCUGCGGUUUAAUUGGACUCAACGCCGGGAAGCUCACCGGAUAAGACAGCGGAAUGAUUGCCGGGCUGAAGACUCUGCAUGACUAGCUG
rnacentral:rRNA from 1 species